CCUCGGUGCCUGCCUCCGCCCACCGACGGGAGCCAGACAGCUCGCUAGUUCACAGUUGCGGGCUUAUGUAUGGCUUUACCGUCUUUAGCGCUGCUUUGGUCAGCCGUGCACUAGUCGUUAUGCCCCACUGGCCGUACCCUAACAAACACAUCAACCGUUAACGCGCUCUUUCAUGACUCCCUGAGAACAGGCGAGUCGCCUACUGUAGCGUAACGGGAACCGCCGAGAAACUUGUGAUGACACUGGGCACACCCAGACAAUCCAGGAUACGCUCCGUUUUAAAGGCAGCUGCUAGCACCGGUAAUUCCUCUCUGCCAUAUAAGGUAACAGGUUCCUGGGACUAGCAUGCGGACACCAUUGGAGGGCUGUCGACCUGCCUACCACACCGCCCAAACAAACCAGCUCGAUCAAACUGGAUCUGCCUGUUGCUCAGGAGUCUGUGCCGAUGAGUUUCCCAGACAGCCUUUUGCUCUGACAUGGCCCCUGCAUGAGAGCCGGAGGUGAAGCUCUGGUCUUUUAGGGUGAGGAGAGCAGUUCACGCAUCUCAGGUCCAGUGAGGGUGGGACCAAAAAUGAAGAUGGGAACUGCCAGUCCUAGUGAGAGCUAGGGACUGGGUCAGGAUGACAGGCGAGAAUGGCUCCCUCCCACACACACACUUUUUUUGUGUGGUAAGGAGGUAGGCUGUUUGGUAAGGAUGUUAUAUGGCCUAAGAAAAAAUUUCAGGAAGGAAAUCAGGGUAGUAUGGGCAGGGGGUGUCACCAGAAUUCCGCAGAUGUAGCCAAACUGUAUUGUAAAAAAACUUUCUUAGGCCAUCAUGUGUCUGAAUGCCACACACCAGUGUGGAAAUCUUCCUCCCCACAGGCAGCGCUGGUCAGCUCACCCUCCAGCCGUCACUCUUCUAACCUGCCCCAUCAGUAUAGUGUAAUGCACUCCAUUUGUCCUCAUUCUGUUCCCCUUCUCUUGUCACAGACUCACAAGAGAAACCCAGGACAUUCUGAUCCAUUGGCAUCAUCGAGGUACCCUCAAUCGUGUCUACUGCUGGACAGACCGGCUGAAGCCAGUCCCAGCUCUUGUCGUUUCCUGUCCCAUCAUAGCCCAGGCUCGUCUCUGCUUUACUGCUAGAUUCCAAGUAACAGCCAGAGCAGGAACGUGUCCCCUUCCUGACAUGUCUCACACUCCCCAAGCCUCAGGCCAGAGGCCCACGCAGCCAACUAGUUCCAAGGCCAUCUGAUUUUCCAUGUGUCAACUGUAACACAAAGAAAACUGAAAACUUUUAAAUACCCAAAGAAUUUUGGAUGUCAAUUAUGGCAUAUUGACGGCAUUUCCCCUCACUGGACUGUUAAGGCCAUCCAGAGUUAGAAAUAGGAAUAUGUAGAAUUUCAAAAAUACUUACAAAAAUGUUAGACACAGCCUAUAAAUCAACACUUUUACAAGUAAAAGUAGGUACAUAUGGAAUACUAUAGGACAUAAAGAAAAAAACAUGGAGGAACUUAGUUGUGACAAUAACAAAACCAUGAAAUAAAAAUGUCACGAGUGGGCAACUAAUGGCAUUGUUUUCCACAGCAGCAGGGGAUGAGGGAAGUGUAGUAAGCUGUGUUUAAACUCACUAUCUGGGACUAACCUGCUCACACAGUUCCUUACUGAUGGGUCUGCUUGGUUGACCUCUGUGAAUGGCUACCCACCCACAUCCCCAGAGACUGCUGUCAGGCCAAGCCCAGCCCCACGAGCCCACACACUGCAGGCCAGCUGGUCAACUGCAGAUGCAGUCCAGGCCAGCAGCCUUCCCUCCAUUUCCCUUUGUGCCUCCCCUCUGCCCACAACCUCUCAGUUUGUCUCAAACACAGCUACUACAACACGUUUUAUUUUGCUGGAAAAGUCUAUGUAGUAAAGAACCAAACCUGGCUCCAUGAAGAAAACAUUUACCACAGCUUAAAUAAAGGAUAGGAGAGGGAAGGGAGGAGUGCCCUGCCUGUGCUGUCACGACCUCACUCUUACUCGGAGGCCAUAUAUGACGGAACUCCCAGGGGUCCUAGAGGAGCCUCUGCUUGGCCCUCUGAUAAGGCCUUGAUAGCAGCUGGGAUGUCCGAUUCUGGCACGCUGAAAUCCUGACA